AGCGAACGCUGGCGGCAGGCCUAACACAUGCAAGUCGAACGAACCUUUCGGGGUUAGUGGCGGACGGGUGAGUAACACGUGGGAACGUUCCUUUAGGUUCGGAAUAACUCAGGGAAACUUGUGCUAAUACCGAAUGUGCCCUUCGGGUGAAAGAUUUAUCGCCUUUAGAGCGGCCCGCGUCUGAUUAGCUAGUUGGUUGAGGUAAUGGCUCACCAAGGCGACGAUCAGUAGCUGGUCUGAGAGGAUGAUCAGCCACAUUGGGACUGAGACACGGCCCAAACUCCUACGGGAGGCAGCAGUGGGGAAUCUUGCGCAAUGGGCGAAAGGCUGACGCAGCCAUGCCGCGUGAAUGAUGAAGGUCUUAGGAUUGUAAAAUUCUUUCACCGGGGACGAUAAUGACGGUACCCGGAGAAGAAGCCCCGGCUAACUUCGUG
rnacentral:rRNA from 1 species